GCGGGUGUAGCUCAGUUGGUUAGAGCGCUGGUUUGUGGUACCGGAGGCCGCGGAUUCGAGUUCCGUCACUCGCCCCA
rnacentral:tRNA from 1 species